AACCUUACCAGGGUUUGACAUCCUGCGAAUCCCUUGGAAGCGAGGGAGUGCCUUCGGGAACGCAGUGACAGGUGGUGCAUGGCUGUCGUCAGCUCGUGUCGUGAGAUGUUGGGUUAAGUCCCGCAACGAGCGCAACCCACGUCUUUAGUUGCCAGCAUUUAGUUGGGCACUCUAGAGAGACUGCCGGUGAUAAACCGGAGGAAGGUGNGGAUGACGUCAAGUCAUCAUGCCCCUUACAUCCUGGGCUACACACGUACUACAAUGCUACGGACAAAGGGCAGCAAACUCGCGAGAGCUAGCCAAUCCCAUAAACCGUGGCUCAGUUCAGAUCGUAGGCUGCAACUCGCCUACGUGAAGGAGGAAUCGCUAGUAAUCGCAGGUCAGCAUACUGCGGUGAAUACGUUCCCGGGCCUUGUACACACCGCCCGUCACACCAUGGAAGUUGGCCACGCCCGAAGUCGUUACUCCAACCCUUGUGGAGGAGGAUGCCGAAGGUGGGGCUGAUGACUGGGGUGAAGUCGUAACAAGGUAGCCGUACCGGAAGGUGU
rnacentral:rRNA from 1 species